GACGAACGCUGGCGGCGUGCCUAAUACAUGCAAGUUGAGCGAUGAAGAUUGGUGCUUGCACCAAUUUGAAGAGCAGCGAACGGGUGAGUAACGCGUGGGGAAUCUGCCUUUGAGCGGGGGACAACAUUUGGAAACGAAUGCUAAUACCGCAUAACAACUUUAAACAUAAGUUUUAAGUUUGAAAGAUGCAAUUGCAUCACUCAAAGAUGAUCCCGCGUUGUAUUAGCUAGUUGGUGAGAUAAAGGCUCACCAAGGCGAUGAUACAUAGCCGACCUGAGAGGGUGAUCGGCCACAUUGGGACUGAGACACGGCCCAAACUCCUACGGGAGGCAGCAGUAGGGAAUCUUCGGCAAUGGACGAAAGUCUGACCGAGCAACGCCGCGUGAGUGAAGAAGGUUUUCGGAUCGUAAAACUCUGUUGGUAGAGAAGAACGUUGGUGAGAGUGGAAAGCUCAUCAAGUGACGGUAACUACCCAGAAAGGGACGGCUAACUACGUG
rnacentral:rRNA from 1 species